rnacentral:rRNA from 1 species
GGCAAGUGCGGGUGCUAUACAUGCAAGUCGAGCGGACAGAUGGGAGCUUGCUCCCUGAUGUUAGCGGCGGACGGGUGAGUAACACGUGGGUAACCUGCCUGUAAGACUGGGAUAACUCCGGGAAACCGGGGCUAAUACCGGAUGGUUGUCUGAACCGCAUGGUUCAGACAUAAAAGGUGGCUUCGGCUACCACUUACAGAUGGACCCGCGGCGCAUUAGCUAGUUGGUGAGGUAACGGCUCACCAAGGCGACGAUGCGUAGCCGACCUGAGAGGGUGAUCGGCCACACUGGGACUGAGACACGGCCCAGACUCCUACGGGAGGCAGCAGUAGGGAAUCUUCCGCAAUGGACGAAAGUCUGACGGAGCAACGCCGCGUGAGUGAUGAAGGUUUUCGGAUCGUAAAGCUCUGUUGUUAGGGAAGAACAAGUGCCGUUCAAAUAGGGCGGCACCUUGACGGUACCUAACCAGAAAGCCACGGCUAACUACGUGCCAGCAGCCGCGGUAAUACGUAGGUGGCAAGCGUUGUCCGGAAUUAUUGGGCGUAAAGGGCUCGCAGGCGGUUUCUUAAGUCUGAUGUGAAAGCCCCCGGCUCAACCGGGGAGGGUCAUUGGAAACUGGGGAACUUGAGUGCAGAAGAGGAGAGUGGAAUUCCACGUGUAGCGGUGAAAUGCGUAGAGAUGUGGAGGAACACCAGUGGCGAAGGCGACUCUCUGGUCUGUAACUGACGCUGAGGAGCGAAAGCGUGGGGAGCGAACAGGAUUAGAUACCCUGGUAGUCCACGCCGUAAACGAUGAGUGCU